rnacentral:rRNA from 1 species
CCUACGGGGGGCACCAGUGGGGAAUAUUGCACAAUGGGCGCAAGCCUGAUGCAGCCAUGCCGCGUGUAUGAAGAAGGCCUUCGGGUUGUAAAGUACUUUCAGCGGGGAGGAAGGCGGUGAGGUUAAUAACCUCAUCGAUUGACGUUGCCCGCAGAAGAAGCACCGGCUAACUCCGUGCCGGCAGCCGCGGUAAUACGGAGGGUGCAAGCGUUAAUCGGAAUUACUGGGCGUAAAGCGCACGCAGGCGGUCUGUCAAGUCGGAUGUGAAAUCCCCGGGCUCAACCUGGGAACUGCAUUCGAAACUGGCAGGCUAGAGUCUUGUAGAGGGGGGUAGAAUUCCAGGUGUAGCGGUGAAAUGCGUAGAGAUCUGGAGGAAUACCGGUGGCGAAGGCGGCCCCCUGGACAAAGACUGACGCUCAGGUGCGAAAGCGUGGGGAGCAAACAGGAUUAGAUACCCGGGUAGUC